UCCUGGAACAGAGCGUCAUAGAGGGUGAGAAUCCCGUCUUUGACACGGACUACCAGUGCUUUGUGAUGCGCUCUCAAAGAGUCGAGUUGUUUGGGAAUGCAGCUCAAAAUGGGUGGUGAAUUCCAUCUAAAGCUAAAUAUUGGCGAGAGACCGAUAGCGAACAAGUACCGUGAGGGAAAGAUGAAAAGCACUUUGGAAAGAGAGUUAAACAGUACGUGAAAUUGCUGAAAGGGAAACGCUUGAAGUCAGUCGCGUUGUCCGGAACUCAGCCUUGCUUUUGCUUGGUGCACUUUCCGGAUGACGGGUCAGCAUCGAUUUUGACCGUCGGAAAAGGGCUAGAGUAAUGUGGCACCUUCGGGUGUGUUAUAGACUCUGGUCGCAUACGGCGGUUGGGAUCGAGGAACGCAGCGCGCCGUAAGGCAGGGGUUCUCCCACUUUCGCGCUUAGGAUGCUGGCAUAAUGGCUUUAAACGACCCGUCUUGAAACACGGACCAAGGAGUCUAACAUACCUGCGAGUGUUUGGGUGGAAAACCCGAGCGCGUAAUGAAAGUGAAAGUUGAGACCCCUGUCGUGGGGGGCAUCGACGCCCGGACCAGACGUUCUCUGACGGAUCCGCGGUAGAGCAUGUAUGUUGGGACCCGAAAGAUGGUGAACUAUGCCUGAAUAGGGUGAAGCCAGAGGAAACUCUGGUGGAGGCUCGUAGCGAUUCUGACGUGCAAAUCGAUCGUCAAAUUUGGGUAUAGGGGCGAAAGA
rnacentral:rRNA from 1 species